rnacentral:rRNA from 1 species
CCUGAGAAACCCAAAAGAUCGAAAGGGGAGAUUCAUCGUCAGCGUUACUGGUACGUGGGCGGUUCGCGAUGUCCGAGACUUCGGUCUCGCGAUACGCGUCCGCUCGACCUUAUUGACUGGUAUCGUCGGCGUGCACUUCUCCUCUAGUAGGACGUCGCGACCCGUUGAGUGUCGGUCUACGGCCCGGGUGGGUGCCUGUUUCGUGUGCGCUUUAUCGCGUCACUGCGAGACAGACCCCCGGAUGCUUGACCGUCUGCUCGGCGGUACUCGCAAGGUAUUUGGCCGCAAAUAUUCGAACUGCGUCCGGCCCGUCGCAAGCGAGGCGAGUGCUUCCCGAAUGUACGGAUCUAAUGCCGUCAUCGGGCCUAGCCAGCUGUUGGUUGACGGUGUCCUAGGACUGGCUAUAAAAAUUAUGAUACCGGUCAGCGACGCUACUGCUUUGGGUACUUUCAGGACCCGUCUUGAAACACGGACCAAGGAGUCUAACAUGUGCGCGAGUCAUUGGGAAAUAAUAAGCCUAAAGGCGCAAUGAAAGUGAAGGUCGGCUUCGCGUCGACCGAGGGAGGAUGGGCCGUGUCACGAUGCGGUCCCGCACUCCCGGGGCGUCUCGUUCUCAUUGCGAGAAGAGGCGCACCCAGAGCGUACACGUUGGGACCCGAAAGAUGGU